rnacentral:rRNA from 1 species
CACGUAGGGGGCGAGCGUUGUCCGGAUUUAUUGGGCGUAAAGAGCUCGUAGGCGGCUCAGUAAGUCAGGUGUGAAAACUCCAGGCUCAACCUGGAGACGCCACCUGAUACUGCUGUGGCUAGAGUCCGGUAGGGGAGCAUGGAAUUCCUGGUGUAGCGGUGAAAUGCGCAGAUAUCAGGAGGAACACCAGUGGCGGAAGGCGGUGCUCUGGGCCGGAACUGACGCUGGAGGAGCGGAAAGCGUGGGGAGCAAACAG